GACGAACGCUGGCGGCGUGCUUAACACAUGCAAGUCGAACGGAAAGGCCCUGCUUUUGUGGGGUGCUCGAGUGGCGAACGGGUGAGUAACACGUGAGUAACCUGCCCUUGACUUUGGGAUAACUUCAGGAAACUGGGGCUAAUACCGGAUAGGAGCUCCUGCUGCAUGGUGGGGGUUGGAAAGUUUCGGCGGUUGGGGAUGGACUCGCGGCUUAUCAGCUUGUUGGUGGGGUAGUGGCUUACCAAGGCUUUGACGGGUAGCCGGCCUGAGAGGGUGACCGGCCACAUGGGGACUGGGAUACGGCCCAGACUCCUACGGGAGGCAGCAGUGGGGAAUAUUGCACAAUGGGCGGAAGCCUGAUGCAGCAACGCCGCGUGCGGGAGGACGGCCUUCGGGGUGUAAACCGCUUUCGCCUGUGACGAAGCGUGAGUGACGGUAAUGGGUAAAGAAGCACCGGCUAACUACGU
rnacentral:rRNA from 1 species